CUUCUACAUUUUCCAAAGGAAAAGGCCAGCCAUGAAAGAAGAAUUAAAAAAAAAGGAGGAAAGGAGCCAAGUUAAGUUCCAAGCAGAAUCUGGUGAUAUGUGAUCUUUAAGCAUAUGGCAUUUUACUCUUCUCCGAGCGUCUUGACAAUGCCACCUCAUAGAUACAUCAUGGCCUACUUGAUCAAGAAACCUCUUAUUCAUCGUGAAAACCUUGUAACCAAUGAAAACUCACGAAUCGACACAUUUUAUGUAUGUCAUGAACAUAUGAUGCAAGGAAAAGAAAAGAACAGAGGAUACAAGUUAUGACAUAUAGAACCAUAAAACAACAAGUAAAGUGUAAUGGUAAAUACAAAUGCGAAUAUGCAAA